GUCCCUCUCAACUUGUUUGUUGGCUCCCAGCUUUCAAAACUGACAAACUCCUUAACACGGGAACUCGGCCCAAAGACAAUCCUUAGUAAGAGCGGCUCUCUUCUUUAUUUUCCUGGAGCAUAGGAAUUGUACACAACAUCUACCAGAUGUAUUUUAGGCAUCUGUAUCUGGUUUUCCGAUGUUGAUAACCUGUUACCGGAGCCUGAAUUACUACUGGAUUCCUGCUGUUACUGAAGCUGCCUCCUAAGUAUUUCGCUACGUUCUUUUUUUAAAAGAGCUAUUUGUAAUCCCCAACAAGGCAAAACUUUCUCUACUUCUUCAAACAUUUUUUCCUAAAGCAUCUGCAUCUGAAUCAAUUAAUAAGAGAUCAUCCAUAUAAUGGCAUCUUGGUAACAUCACAAGGGCUAUAGUUCCAUGGUAGAACCUUUGCUUAGCGUCCUUGAGGCCUGGAUCCUGGCAAGGGGCAGGAAGUGAGGCAGACAUCCACAGAUAUACACUGAACUCUGGAACCUAGUUGCAGAGAGGGAGGAAUGAAGAUCAAAGGGGUCGGUACCAGGCUGGUGAAACCCACAGAAUCAGCCAGCCUGAACAAAGGGGAGCACAUGGACCCCAGACUGCUCUCUGGGAGGCCACCACAGGACUGAAUCAGACCCCUGAACAUGGAUG
rnacentral:lncRNA from 1 species